UACGGGGGGGGGCAAGCGUUGUUCGGAAUUACUGGGCGUAAAGGGCGCGUAGGCGGCCUGCUAAGUCGGACGUGAAAUCCCUCGGCUCAACCGGGGAACUGCGUCCGAUACUGGCGAGGCUUGAAUCCGGGAGAGGGAUGUGGAAUUCCAGGUGUAGCGGUGAGAUGCGUAGAUAUCUGGAGGAAUACCGGUGGCGAAGGCGGCAUCCUGGACCGGCAUUGACGCUGAGGAGCGAAAGCCAGGGGAGCAAACGGG
rnacentral:rRNA from 1 species